GUGAAGAACGCAGCGAAAUGCGAUACGUAAUGUGAAUUGCAGAAUUCAGUGAAUCAUCGAGUCUUUGAACGCAGAUUGCGCUCCCUGGUAUUCCGGGGGGCAUGCCUGUCCGAGCGUCAUUGCUGCCCUCAAGCACGGCUUGUGUGUUGGGCCUCCGUCCUCCUCCCGGGGGACGGGCCCGAAAGGCAGCGGCGGCACCGCGUCCGGUCCUCGAGCGUAUGGGGCUUCGUCACCCGCUCUUGUAGGCCCGGCCGGCGCUUGCCGACACAUCAAUCUUUUUUCCAGGUUGACCUCGGAUCAGGUAGGGAUACCCGCUGAACUUAAGCAUAUCAAUAAGCGGAGGA
rnacentral:misc_RNA from 1 species